UACGUAGGGACCAAGCGUUGUUCGGAUUUACUGGGCGUAAAGGGCGCGUAGGCGGCAAUUCAAGUCAGCUGUGAAAUCUCCGAGCUUAACUCGGAACGGUCAGCUGAUACUGUUUUGCUAGAGUGCAGAAAGGGCAACCGGAAUUCUUGGUGUAGCGGUGAAAUUCGUAGAUAUUAGGAAGAACACCGGUGGCGAAGGCGGCCCACUGGCUCGAUACUGACGCUGAGGUGCGAAAGCGUGGGGAGCAAACAGG
rnacentral:rRNA from 1 species